ACUACAUGGUGUGGGCACUUACGUAUGAGGUCCUUUAAUCUUUUCCAUGUCUCAUGGAACAUUUCUCCAUCCAGUUGGAAAAAGCUAGUGAUGACUUUUCUAAUUU